GACGAACUCUGGCGGCGUGCUUAACACAUGCAAGUCGAACGGUAAGGCUCCAGCUUGCUGGGGUACACGAGUGGCGAACGGGUGAGUAACACGUGGGUGACCUGCCCUGCACUUCGGGAUAAGCCUGGGAAACUGGGUCUAAUACCGGAUAGGACCGCACCGUGAGGGUGUGGUGGAAAGUUUUUUCGGUGUGGGAUGGGCCCGCGGCCUAUCAGCUUGUUGGUGGGGUAAUGGCCUACCAAGGCGGCGACGGGUAGCCGGCCUGAGAGGGUGGACGGCCACAUUGGGACUGAGACACGGCCCAGACUCCUACGGGAGGCAGCAGUGGGGAAUAUUGCACAAUGGGCGGAAGCCUGAUGCAGCGACGCCGCGUGGGGGAUGACGGCCUUCGGGUUGUAAACUCCUUUCACCAUCGACGAAGGGUUUCUGACGGUAGAUGGAGAAGAAGCACCGGCUAACUACGUGCCAGCAGCCGCGGUAAUACGUAGGGUGCGAGCGUUGUCCGGAAUUACUGGGCGUAAAGAGCUCGUAGGUGGUUUGUCGCGUCGUCUGUGAAAUUCCGGGGCUUAACUCCGGGCGUGCAGGCGAUACGGGCAUAACUUGAGUACUGUAGGGGAGACUGGAAUUCCUGGUGUAGCGGUGAAAUGCGCAGAUAUCAGGAGGAACACCGGUGGCGAAGGCGGGUCUCUGGGCAGUAACUGACGCUGAGGGGCGAAAGCAUGGGGAGCGAACAGGAUUAGAUACCCUGGUAGUCCAUGCCGUAAACGGUGGGCGCUAGGUGUGGGUUUCCUUCCACGGGAUCCGUGCCGUAGCUAACGCAUUAAGCGCCCCGCCUGGGGAGUACGGCCGCAAGGCUAAAACUCAAAGGAAUUGACGGGGGCCCGCACAAGCGGCGGAGCAUGUGGAUUAAUUCGAUGCAACGCGAAGAACCUUACCUGGGCUUGACAUAUACAGGAUCGCGCCAGAGAUGGUGUUUCCCUUGUGGCUUGUAUACAGGUGGUGCAUGGUUGUCGUCAGCUCGUGUCGUGAGAUGUUGGGUUAAGUCCCGCAACGAGCGCAACCCUUGUCUUAUGUUGCCAGCACGUUGUGGUGGGGACUCGUAAGAAACUGCCGGGGUUAACUCGGAGGAAGGUGGGGAUGACGUCAAAUCAUCAUGCCCCUUAUGUCCAGGGCUUCACACAUGCUACAAUGGUCGGUACAGUGGGUUGCCAGUCCGUGAGGGCGAGCUAAUCCCGCAAAGCCGGUCUCAGUUCGGAUCGGGGUCUGCAACUCGACCCCGUGAAGUCGGAGUCGCUAGUAAUCGCAGAUCAGCAACGCUGCGGUGAAUACGUUCCCGGGCC
rnacentral:rRNA from 1 species